UUAUUUUAAGAAAGGAGAGAAGAUUAACACUUACUUCAAUCCAGAUAGAAGAGGCCAUGGUGUGCUGUAAACACAUGCAUAUGGUUAAGGCAUUGCAGCUUACUUUGUGACAACAAAUUUGGUGACUUU